AACGCACAUUGCGCCCAUUAGUAUUCUAGUGGGCAUGCCUGUUCGAGCGUCAUUUCAACCCUUAAGCCUAGCUUAGUAUUGGGAAUCGACUUUACUGUCGUUCCUCAAAUUCAACGGCGGAUUUAUAGCAAUCUCUGAACGUAGUAAUUUUUUUCCUCGUUUUUGAAAUACUAUAAACCUCAGCCGCUAAACCCCCAAUUCUUUUAUGGUUGACCUCGGAUCAGGUAGGAAUACCCGCUGAACUUAA
rnacentral:misc_RNA from 1 species